AAUUUACCAUAUUAUCCUCAUUUAAUUAAUUCAAUUCUUAAUGUUUGCAUUACCAAGGGCAUUUUUUGGUAUUUUUUUUUUACAAUUCUCUGCCUUUUGCUUUAUGUAUAUAGAUAGAUAUAUUCGUUUUUUUUCUUCUACAAAUUAACUAUAAAAGAAUAGAGAGAGAGAGUCACGGGCUGGAUUGGGUAAAGGAAGA
rnacentral:lncRNA from 1 species